UUGUUUAUGUCAGCCUUGAGUUAGCUUUAGCACACUGUACACUUUAUGUAGCUGCCUGUCGAUGUCUGCUGAAACAUCGCUCUGAUUUGUAGGUUUAUUUAAUUGUCUUUUUAAUGUAUACGCAGUAGAAAUGUUAAAUUGGUAACGAAGAUAGCGUUAGCUCGUUUGCUAAGCUUUUCUAUCGUUUGUUUCGCCUUUCUAUCGUUACUUCACCAUGUACAAGGUGAAAAUAUUAUUAAUUGGACCAAGCGAGUGCGGAAAAACAGCAUUGGCCAAUUUUCUCUCUGAUACAACGGAAUCAGUAGGAGCUGAUUACAGCCCAACACAAGGCGUAAGGAUUCUUGAGUUUGAAUCUCACA